CCAUUAAGGCAGCAGCUGGGUUGCACAGUGCGCGUUCAUCCCAUCCCACAAGGCGCACGUACGUAUAUAAUCCGUUGGUAGAUCCCAAGCUGAAUCCAUCAAUGGAGAACAAUGGCAGCAGCAACCCACAGCCGCCGCCAGGCUACCCGACGGCUGGUUCGGAGGGCGCGGCAGGCGGCACGAAGAAGAAGGCGACGACGACCAAGCGGGGAGAGGCCAGCUUUAUCGAAGGAUGCAUCGCCGCGAUCUGCUGCUGCUGGCUCUGCGAGAUCUGCUGCGACUGAUCGAUCAGGAGGCUGCAGGAAAUGAUGAUGACUCAUCAAAGAUGGAUAUAUAUGUGCGUCGAGCCGCCUGUUUAGUUUGGUCAAUAUAUAUCAGAAUAAUAACUUGAGGAUGAGUUUGUGAUGAGGUCAACGAGUUUGUUAGAUUGCUGUAUUACUUUGUUUUCUGUAACAUUUUUUCCUACCACGAAUACGUCGUGAAAUACAGCUACAUUAAUUUGUUUCAGCAAA